CCUGGCAGUCAGAGGCGAUGAAGGGCGUACUAAUCUGCGAUAAGCGCCGGUAAGGUGAUAUGAACCGUUAUAACCGGCGAUACCCGAAUGGGGAAACCCAGUGUGAUUCGUCACACUAUCAUUAACUGAAUCCAUAGGUUAAUGAGGCGAACCGGGGGAACUGAAACAUCUAAGUACCCCGAGGAAAAGAAAUCAACCGAGAUUCCCCCAGUAGCGGCGAGCGAACGGGGAGGAGCCCAGAGCCUGAAUCAGCAUGUGUGUUAGUGGAAGCGUCUGGAAAGGCGCGCGAUACAGGGUGACAGCCCCGUACACAAAAGCGCAUGUGCUGUGAGCUCGAUGAGUAGGGCGGGACACGUGGUAUCCUGUCUGAAUAUGGGGGGACCAUCCUCCAAGGCUAAAUACUCCUGACUGACCGAUAGUGAACCAGUACCGUGAGGGAAAGGCGAAAAGAACCCCGGCGAGGGGAGUGAAAAAGAACCUGAAACCGUGUACGUACAAGCAGUGGGAGCACCCUUUGGGUGUGACUGCGUACCUUUUGUAUAAUGGGUCAGCGACUUAUAUUCUGUAGCAAGGUUAACCGAAUAGGGGAGCCGGAGGGAAACCGAGUCUUAACCGGGCGUUAAGUUGCAGGGUAUAGACCCGAAACCCGGUGAUCUAGCCAUGGGCAGGUUGAAGGUUGGGUAACACUAACUGGAGGACCGAACCGACUAAUGUUGAAAAAUUAGCGGAUGACCUGUGGCUGGGGGUGAAAGGCCAAUCAAACCGGGAGAUAGCUGGUUCUCCCCGAAAGCUAUUUAGGUAGCGCCUCGUGAAUUCAUCUCCGGGGGUAGAGCACUGUUUCGGCUAGGGGGCCAUCCCGGCUUACCAACCCGAUGCAAACUGCGAAUACCGGAGAAUGUUAUCACGGGAGACACACGGCGGGUGCUAACGUCCGUCGUGAAGAGGGAAACAACCCAGACCGCCAGCUAAGGUCCCAAAGUCAUGGUUAAGUGGGAAACGAUGUGGGAAGGCCCAGACAGCCAGGAUGUUGGCUUAGAAGCAGCCAUCAUUUAAAGAAAGCGUAAUAGCUCACUGGUCGAGUCGGCCUGCGCGGAAGAUGUAACGGGGCUAAACCAUGCACCGAAGCUGCGGCAGCGACACUGUGUGUUGUUGGGUAGGGGA
rnacentral:rRNA from 1 species